AUUGAACGCUGGCGGCAGGCCUAACACAUUCAAGUCGAACGAGUGGCGGAUGGGUCAGUAAUGUCUGGGAAACUGCCUGAUUGAGUGGGAUACCUACUGGAAACGGUAGCUAAUACCGCAUCCCCUCAGCUGUGCCCAGAUGGGAUUAGCUAGUUGUUGGGUUAACGGCUCACCAAGGCGACGAUCCCUAGCUGGUCUGAGAGGAGGACCAGACACACGUGAACUGAGACACGGUCCGGACUCCUACGGGAGGCAGAAGUGGGGAAUAUUGCACAAUGGGCGCAAGCCUGAUGAAGCCAUGCCGGGUGUAUGAAGAAGGCGUUCGGGUUGUAAAGUACGUUCAGCGGGGAGGCGUUACCCGCAGAAGAAGCACCGGCUAACUCCGUGCCAGCAGCCGCGGUAAUUC
rnacentral:rRNA from 1 species